rnacentral:rRNA from 1 species
AUAACAGUUGGAAACGACUGUUAAUCCCGCAUAAGCGCACGGUAUCGCAUGAUACAGUGUGAAAAACUCCGGUGGUAUAAGAUGGACCCGCGUCUGAUUAGCUUGUUGGUGAGGUAACGGCUCACCAAGGCGACGAUCAGUAGCCGGCCUGAGAGGGUGAACGGCCACAUUGGGACUGAGACACGGCCCAAACUCCUACGGGAGGCAGCAGUGGGGAAUAUUGCACAAUGGGGGAAACCCUGAUGCGGCGACGCCGCGUGAGUGAUGAAGUAUUUCGGUAUGUAAAACUCUAUCAGCAGGGAAGAUAAUGACGGUACCUGACUAAGAAGCACCGGCUAAAUACGUGCCAGCAGCCGCGGUAAUACGUAUGGUGCAAGCGUUAUCCGGAUUUACUGGGUGUAAAGGGUGCGUAGGUGGUAUGGCAAGUCAGAAGUGAAAGGCUGGGGCUCAACCCCGGGACUGCUUUUGAAACUGUCAAACUAGAGUACAGGAGAGGAAAGCGGAAUUCCUAGUGUAGCGGUGAAAUGCGUAGAUAUUAGGAGGAACACCAGUGGCGAAGGCGGCUUUCUGGACUGAAACUGACACUGAGGCACGAAAGCGUGGGGAGCAAACAGGAUUAGAUACCCUGGUAGUCCACGCCGUAAAC